AACCUUCCUACAAGUGGGGAAUAGCCCAGAGAAAUUUGGAUUAAUACCCCGUAGCAUAACGAUGUGGCAUCACACUGUUAUUAUAGCUUCGGCGCUUGUUGAUGGGUGUGCGGCUGAUUAGGUAGUUGGCGGGGUAACGGCCCACCAAGCCUUCGAUCAGUAGCUGAUGUGAGAGCAUGAUCAGCCACACGGGCACUGAGACACGGGCCCGACUCCUACGGGAGGCAGCAGUAAGGAAUAUUGGACAAUGGGCGCAAGCCUGAUCCAGCCAUGCCGCGUGAAG
rnacentral:rRNA from 1 species